AGCACUUUAGCGCAGAGGAAGCGCGUUGGGCUCAUAACCCAAAGGCCCCAGGAUCGAAACCUGGAAGUGCUA